rnacentral:rRNA from 1 species
GAUAAACGCUGGCGGCGUGCCUAACACAUGCAAGUCGAACGAUGAAGCUUAAAAGAUUUCUUCGGAAUGAACUUAAUUGGAUUAGUGGCGGACGGGUGAGUAACGCGUGAGUAACCUGCCUUGUACAAGGGGAUAGCCGUUGGAAACGACGAAUAAUACCCUAUGACAUCAAAUAAUCGCAUGAUAAUUUGAUCAAAGAUUUAUCGGUAUAAGAUGGACUCGCGUCUGAUUAGCUAGUUGGUAGAGUAAAAGCCUACCAAGGCAACGAUCAGUAGCCGGCUGGAGAGAGUGUACGGCCACAUUGGGACUGAGACACGGCCCAGACUCCUACGGGAGGCAGCAGUGGGGAAUUUUGCACAAUGGGGGAAACCCUGAUGCAGCGACGCCGCGUGAUUUAGAAGGCCUUCGGGUUGUAAAAAUCUUUUGUAUGGGAAGAAAAUGACAGUACCAUACGAAUAAGGACCGGCUAAUUACGUG